rnacentral:lncRNA from 1 species
UGAAGGAGUAUGGGCUUGGGUCUGUUUCACUCGAGCCAUGGUUGCAAAUAGAAGAGAUGAGUGAAGAUAGAGUUCAGAUUUAAUGCAGAUAUCAGUUGCAGAGACAGAGGAAGAAGAUGAAGCAGAGAAAGAAAUAUAGAAAUCUGGACUUAAACAGUGAAGAAAUCGAUUUAGACCUGUUCCUUUUUAUACUUUUACCCUUAUCAAUCGAUUGCCAAAUCGAUUGGUUUACCGUUACACCGAAUCCUUAAUCGAUUGUGUAAUUAUGAUGUCCAACGGCUAGUAAAAAAGNNN